AUGGACAGCGGCGGCAACAAGAGCGGCGCUGCUGCCGGGGGAGGGGACGGCGCGUGCAGCGGCGGCCACCUGUGCCACCUGUGCGGGUACAAGUACGCGAGCGCGCACCCCAGCGCCAAGCAGCGGCGUGCGCACCGCAAGAACUGCGGCGUUGGCGGCGGCGGCGGCGGCGGCAAGUCGCCGCCCACCGCCGCCGCCGCCGCCGCCGCCAGUGCGGAGGUGGAGGAAGAGCGCGAAGGAAAGAAGUCGGUGCUAGGUGUGGAUGUCGGAGGAGAGGGAAAUGGGGCGCCUGCUUCGGAUUCUGGCGGCGUUUUGCCCGGAUCUGCGGAGGAUGUUGGGAAUGCAGUAGAUGACGACGACACUGGAGUGCACUCUUCCCCUAAUAGUGCCAGAGUUCACGUCAUUAUCAAUGAUGUCACUUCUGAAGGGCCUCCUAAAGCUAAUGGAACUGACGUUCAAACUGAAGUUGAUCUGCCGCAUUUUCAAGAUUUGUAUCCGUCUGAAUCACAUUGUAGUGGUGAUCAGCAUCAGGAUGCCCCCGCUUCCCAUUGUCAAUCAGAGCCUGAAGAUGGUGCAAGAUUCAGUCCAGACUUCUCUGCAGAUGAAACAAGCAAGUCAAAUGCUGUGUCCCUGGCAUCAGAUGCUGCUUCAGGUGAAUUUUCUGCACAAACAAUUGCUACAGCUGGUAGCCCUGAUGGUAUUGCCGUUACUGAAAACGAUUGUAUGAUCAACACCAUUGAAGAAGACAAAACUAGUGAGGCCAAGUCGGUAAAAGGUAAUGAGAUUGAUUCGUCCUAUCAAGAGAAGCUGCAAACUAAAAUUGUUGAGGGGCAUAGUCCUGCUACAGUGGAGGAAGAUCUAUAUGUCAACAACUUAGGUGUGGUUCCCGGAGAGCAAAACCCCAGUGAAGACACUGAAUCCAAGGACGAAAGCGGGGUUAUCGAACCUAACCCAGUUGAGCAAGUCUGUGCCAUCAAGGAACCUGUUGAUGUACUUGGGAAUAAGGAGCCUUCUACUGAUAAUAAUGUCCACACAGAUGAUACCAGUAGUGAUGAUUUAUCUCAACUUGCUUCUGGUGGUUGUCAUUUGGAGGCAGCAGAUGUUGUCGAAACACAGCAGCAAAUUGAUUCUACUUCUGUGGUAGCAGAUCAGCUGACAAAUUCCAAACAGACAUGCCUUGAAGAAGGGUCAAGCAAUCCUGGUGCAGAUGAGGUUAUCCAAGCUGUAUCAAGUGCAACAGAGUCUCCUGUGGAUAGUCUAGUUGAGGAGGUCAUAUCAGCUCGCAGUGCUUCUGAUGUUACAAAGAAAGAUACCUCCGAGGUGACAACAGAAGAUGACAAACAGAAUAAUUCUAGCCAUACAAGUGAUGUCAUUUCCAUGCCAUCUCAAAUUGACCCAAUAGAGCCUAGCUUAGACCCUACUCAGGAGAUCAGUAUGAGUAGCAAGCAUGAUGUUGACGUGAAUAAACAAAUUGAGAACGUAAGUGUGGACCUUACCUCCCGUGAGACUAACAAUGUAUGCAGUACGGAUAACAUUGAAGAGACUAAGCAGAAUGAAGAAAUUAGUGCAGAAGAGAGUACUCUGAAGACCAGCAUAUUACAGAGUGCAAGUAGUGUUGAGGAAAAAGAACAGAUUGAAGAGGUGAUAGCAGGUCCUGCUUCUGAUAAUAUCAAUGUGAUAAGCAGCAGAGACAUAAUUGUGCAAAAGGAACAGAGUGAUGUCCAUGUGGGAACUGUUCAUGAGAUAAAUGUGGUGGAUAUCCCAGCUAUAGUUGAAUUAGAGAAGCACGUGGAAGAAAGUACCGCAGACCUCCCAGCUAUAGUUGAAUUAGAGAAGCACGGUGAAGAAACUACCGCAGACCCUACUGCUCGGAUGACGAACAUUACAGAUAAAGUUGAAGAAAAGAAGCAAGAUGAAGAAAUUACGCCAGAUCCUGCUCCUCAUGCUAUCAAUGUGAUACACGAAGACAAUACGCAGAAUGAAGACAUGACAGAGAUCCCUAGUUCUCACGAAAGUGUACUUGACGACGCAGAUAUUGUUAAAGAGAAGGGUGAAGAAACUAUGUCAGAGCCAACCUCUCACAACACUGAUGCGGUAAGCAUCGUUGAUGCCAUUGAAGGAAAGAAGGAGAAAGAAGAGGUAACUCCAGAAUCUACUCUUGAUGCUAGCUUGGUCCACACCAUUGACAAUGUCAAAGGAAAGGAGAGUGAAGAGCCUACUUCGGACCUUACAUCCGUCGAUGCGGGAGGCAAUGCAGGUACUAUCCUUGUCGCAGACUCUAGUUCUCACAUGAACAGCACGCCACAGGGCACAAAUGAUAGCAAAGAAGAGGACCGGGAUGAAAAGGCUGCUGUGGACCAUGCUCGGACCGAUGCUGUUGAAGAAAAGAAGCAGAAGGAAGAGACUGCAGCAGAGACCAACACCAAGGAUAGCGCAAAUGACCAUCCGAAUGAAGAGAUCACAGACAAGGAAAUGACAAUAGAUUCAGAUAAGAGCCAUGUGUCCCUGAAGUCCCUUCUCUCCGAGAAAGGCAUUGAAUUUGAAGUUAAAGAAAAGAAGGUGAGCACCAAGGACAGAAUGCUGUCGUUCAGGCGCCGAUCGUCGAAGGACAACCCUUCGCCUGCCAAGCCAGGUUCCGAGCAGCAAGACUGGAACUCUCCGGCCAGGUUACCGGCGGAGAAGUCGCCGAAAGGGAAGAAGCAGCAGUGGAUGCCGUUUAUUUGCUGCCACUCCAUGAACUGA
rnacentral:rRNA from 1 species